CGUGGGAACCUGCCUUUCUCUGCGGGACAACGGUUGGAAACGACCGCUAAUACCGCAUACGCCCUACGGGGGAAAGGUCAGCCGGAGAAAGAGGGGCCCGCGUUCGAUUAGCUUGUUGGUGGGGUAAUGGCCUACCAAGGCGACGAUCGAUAGCUGGUCUGAGAGGAUGAUCAGCCACACUGGGACUGAGACACGGCCCAGACUCCUACGGGAGGCAGCAGUGGGGAAUAUUGGACAAUGGGGGCAACCCUGAUCCAGCAAUGCCGCGUGUGUGAUGAAGGCCUUAGGGUUGUAAAGCACUUUCACUGGUGAAGAUGAUGACGGUAGCCAGAGAAGAAGCCCCGGCUAACUUCGUGCCAGCAGCCGCGGUAAUACGAAGGGGGCGAGCGUUGUUCGGAAUUACUGGGCGUAAAGGGCGCGUAGGCGGUCCUUUAAGUUAGGCGUGAAAGCCCCGGGCUCAACCUGGGAACUGCGCUUAAGACUGGAGGACUAGAAAACGGAAGAGGGU
rnacentral:rRNA from 1 species